GUGCUCGUAUCGGCAGCACAUAUACUAAAAUUGGAAAGAUACAGAAAUUAGCAUGGCCCUACGCAAGGAUGAUACACAAAUUUGUGAAGCGUUUCAUAUUUAA